GAGUUUGAUCCUGGCUCAGAACGAACGCUGGCGGCGUGCCUAACACAUGCAAGUCGAACGUGAUCCASAGCUUGCUCUGGUGAAAGUGGCGCACGGGUGAGUAACGCGUGGAUCACCUACCCUGGUAUCCGGGAUAACAUUCCGAAAGGGGUGCUAAUACCGGAUAAGCCCACGGGCUCUUUGGAGCUUGCGGGAAAAGGUGGCCUCUAUUUAUAAGCUACUGUAUCAGGAUGGGUCCGCGUACCAUUAGCUAGUUGGCGGUGUAACGGACCACCAAGGCGACGAUGGUUAGCUGGUCUGAGAGGAUGAUCAGCCACACUGGAACUGAGACACGGUCCAGACUCCUACGGGAGGCAGCAGUGGGGAAUUUUGCGCAAUGGGGGAAACCCUGACGCAGCAACGCCGCGUGAGUGAUGAAGGCCUUUGGGUCGUAAAGCUCUGUCAGAGGGGAAGAAAUGAUAUAGUGCUAAUACCACUUUAUCUUGACGGUACCCUCAAAGGAAGCACCGGCUAACUCCGUGCCAGCAGCCGCGGUAAUAC
rnacentral:rRNA from 1 species